GAUGAACGCUGGCGGCGUGCCUAAUACAUGCAAGUAGAACGCUGAAGGAGGAGCUUGCUCUUCUGGAAGAGUUGCGAACGGGUGAGUAACGCGUAGGUAACCUGCCUCUUAGCGGGGGAUAACUAUUGGAAACGAUAGCUAAUACCGCAUAAAAGUCGACAUUGCAUGAUGUUGACUUGAAAGGUGCAACUGCAUCACUAAGAGAUGGACCUGCGUUGUAUUAGCUAGUUGGUGAGGUAACGGCUCACCAAGGCGACGAUACAUAGCCGACCUGAGAGGGUGAUCGGCCACACUGGGACUGAGACACGGCCCAGACUCCUACGGGAGGCAGCAGUAGGGAAUCUUCGGCAAUGGGGGCAACCCUGACCGAGCAACGCCGCGUGAGUGAAGAAGGUUUUCGGAUCGUAAAGCUCUGUUGUAAGAGAAGAACGAGUGUGAGAGUGGAAAGUUCACGCUGUGACGGUAUCUUACCAGAAA
rnacentral:rRNA from 1 species